CCAGACUUGGAACCGGGAGAGGUAAGAGGUACUACAGGGGUAGGAGUGAAAUCUUGUAAUCCCCUGUGGGACCACCUGUGGCGAAGGCGUCUUACCAGAACGGGUUCGACGGUGAGGGACGAAAGCUGGGGGCACGAACCGGAUUAGAUACCCGGGUAGUCCCAGCCGUAAACGAUGCUCGCUAGGUGUCAGGCAUGGCGCGACCGUGUCUGGUGCCGCAGGGAAGCCGUGAAGCGAGCCACCUGGGAAGUACGGCCGCAAGGCUGAAACUUAAAGGAAUUGGCGGGGGAGCACAACAACGGGUUGGAGCCUGCGGUUUAAUUGGACUCAACGCCGGACAACUCACCGGGGGCGACAGCAAUAUGUAGGCCAAGCUGAAGACUUUGCCUGAAUCGCUGAGAAGUGGUGCAUGG
rnacentral:rRNA from 1 species